UCCUCAUUGAAGAGGAGGUGGCACCGUCCUCAUUAUCGUCACCGAGGGCCGCAGACGUGGUGGAGAAGGCGAUGUGAGUCGAAGAGUAAAAAAAGAACGAGAGAAAAAAAUAGGACGAGCGAGAAAAAUCCAAAAAGGCGAGAAGAGGACGAAUCGUACAGAAAAAGGCGAGGGUGAAAAGAGAGAGAGAGAAAUAAAGAUAUUUUGGUCAGUUUAUUAAAAAUUCAGUAUGAAUCUGUAAAAUCUAAAAAGGCAGACUACUUUUGCAAAAACUCAAAACCGAUGGAUUUUUUGUACAAAUAGGCCUAAUUAUAUUCCUAUAUAAUUAAAACAACUAAAUUAUUUUAUAUAUAUAUAUAUAAAUUAUAAUAAUAUAAUAGUAAAAUUUUAAAGUAAAAGAAAAUAUUAAUAUUUAACUAAUCAAAUUUUAUCAUAUUUUAAAUAUACAAACUAAAAUGAAUGAAAUAUUAAAACUUAACUAAUUAAUUUUUAUUAUAUUUUAAAUAUACAAACUAAAUAAAAAAAUAAUUAGUAUCAUAAAGGCUAAAUUACAGAAACCCGCCUGUCAAUACCUACUUUUUUACUUUCUCUCUCUGUCAUUCAAAAACCUAUACUUUACCUCCUUAAAAAAUAAAAAAUGUUUACUUUGACAACCGCCGUCAGUGUUCUAUCAGGGUUCCGUUUAUAUCCUAUUUUUUGUACCCAAAAUACCCCUAAAAUCCUCCUCAUUCCUCAUCCUCGGCCGCGCCACCUCGCCCUCCGCCGUCUCGCCCUUGUCCAUCUCUGUGUCCAUGCCCACACCUGCCCUCGCCGCCUCACCAUCGCCCUCGCCAACCUCUCCGUCGAUGCCUACCGCGAAAAAGAUGAGUGGCAAUAUGGUUAUUUUGUCAGUGUACCUCCCUAUGAAUAUUUUUUGUUUUUUAAGGGGAUAAAGUGUAGGUUUUUGAUAGGGGAGUUUUUUGUAAUUUAGCCUAUCAUAAAUAAGUAUAUUUAAUAUAACUAGCAUUAUGCAUUGUCUUAUUUUAUUUUUUUUUUCUUGACCUCUCUUCAUCGUAAUUGACUUCGGUUCAGGACAGGCCGAAAUUAAUUAUGCUGUUUUAGGUAACUCGAGUUUUGACCGUAUCUUUGUUAUGACGAACUAACUAACAGAAGUAAUCAUUUAUGGCCGAAAACGACUUCAUCCUUCUCCAUUUUCACCCAAACAAACAGGUCAUUAGUGUAAGUGAAGGGCUGGAACUCAAGUUCCAUCUUUGGUGUUUAUUUUGUUGUAAGUCAAAAAAAUUAUAUAACUCAAGUUAUGUUAGACCUCUUCUUCACCUAUUCUUGACUUCCCUAUCUAGAGUACUAAACUGAUCAAGUUCCACGACACUCAACUUUUUCUAAAAAAAUUAUUAAAUAUUAAAAUCUAAACUCUACUUCUAAAAUCCUUUAGAAUGGGUUAGAGUUUUUCUUUUAUAAUGGAUUAAGAUUACUUUCAAACAAUAAUGGAGGAUUUAAUUAUUUACAGGUUGGAUUUUGUAGGGAUAAGUUUACCAUUAUAUACGAGAUAAUGGGAUUCACUUACACCAAAACAAACAAUGGAACUCAAAAAACUAAUUUCACCAGCAUUAAGUUAAACCAAAAUAAACAGAAAAAGUGAUUGAAUUUAAUUUUCAGACUGUAUGAGUUACAUCAAAAUAAAAAAAAAAUCACACUUUAGAAAAACUCAAACAACACUACAUUUGAAUUACGUUGGUUCAAGAAAUCCGUCAAUCCAAAUACCCCCAUAAUCAUACAACUCGUCUCAUCCAAACUCUUUCCUUUCCCCAACUACAGGUCUUAUUAUCUUUUAACUAUACUAUUUGACACCUCCUACAAACGCCACGUGGCAUGCCUCCUUAUUCUCCAUUCCACAUGGCGACCAACCCUCUCACCCCCACCUCUACAGAGCCUCUCUCUUUUCUCAACUCACAUCCAGCUGGCAUUCUCUCUCUUCAACUACUGCACUCUCUCUCUUCCUUCCUACAGAUAAUUCUUUCUAUCUCUUCCUCUCUCUCUCCUCUCCUCUCUCUCUUCCUCUCUUAAGAUGGGCCCCUCUCUCUUUCCAGCUGGCCUGCUCUUUCUCUUUCUCCUCCUCUCCCUUUCUCUCUCUCUCUCUCUCUCUCUCUCUCUCUCUCUCUUCUCCUCUUUUCUCUAUAUCUUAGCCUUCCCUCUCUCUCCUCUCUUCUCACAGGGUACCUGGGCAGCAACAGCAGUGGCAAUGGCUUGGGCGGCAACAGCGGCGGCUGCGGCGGCAGUUUGAGCGGCAUCAACGGCAGUCGCCUUGCGUCGACCUCAUCUCGCCAUCGAGGGAUCUUAGAGCUUUUUAAAAUUACUGUGAAUAUCUCAUAUACCCUAAAAAAAAAUUAAAUUAAAAAAAUAUAAAAAAAGACUUCUGCACCUCGACCUCAUCUCGCCAUCGAGGGAUCUUAGAGCUUUUUAAAAUUACCGUGAACAUCUCAUAUACCCUAAAAAAAAAAUAAAUUAAAAAAAAAAGACUUCUGCAGGAGACGUUGCGGAGGGUGUCGCCGCGGGUCCGGUAGCGGUGGCAGGUCUUGCAGAAAUAGCGCGGCUGCGAGAGGGAGUAGUUGUCGAAGUAGCAGGACUUGGUGUUGGUCGAGUCGUAGCGCGGGCACUUGAGCGCCGUGUCACGGACUUAACGAAUUUGCUCGCAAAAGCCCGUGCGGCGCUCGCCUUCCUUCGCGAAGUGAGCAAGCCUGCCUCUCUACUUGCUAAGUUAGGACCUCACUCGCCCUAGACUAAGUACAAGAGAGAUAUAAAGAAAGCUCUUCUAUUACUUUGAACUUGUGAAUACAAUAUGAGAUUCUGAAAUGAGAGGGGGUGGAGGACACACUAUUUAUAGGCCACUCGCCGCCCAUAAUGCCAAUGAAAAGGUGCCAAGUGGCACAAUACUACUAGCCAAAAGGGGAGGCCAUGCGGUCUCCUAAGAGUCCUAAUAAAUAGCAUAUAAACUCGAAGAGUCAUACAUUUAUUGACUACCUAGAAACUCUAAGGGACUCUUAACCCUCCGGUAUCCGCACCGUCAGUCUCGAGAUCCGCGUAGAAGCUUUUAGAUGAUUCCAAGCCAAAACCUCCAUCAGAUGUCUGCUUUGGAGUUUGGGUGAUUGCAAUGCGAAAUCGCGGAGAAAAUCUUUAUGUCCUGACAACCUCCCCCACCUAUUGCGCAGACGCCCUCGUCGCGCGCUGGUGUUGGAAGUCAUCGAUUAGCUUCUGAUACUUCCAGAGUGUGUCAGCCUUCUCCGAGCUUGCCUCGCCAUGCGGGAGAUUCUUUCACUUGACAAGGUACUCCACGCUCCUCGGGACUCCGCGACGCCGAAUGGUGCGAGUGUCCAACAAGGCUUCGACGUCCUUGUCGAUUGCAGUGGUCAUAGUGGCGGGAGCGCGUUGCGACGCGCCCCGGCUCGGGUCCUCAUCGUCUUCAUGGUAGGGCCGUAGGCAGCUAGCAUGAAAGAGAGGAUGAAUCUUCAGGUUGGCGGGGAGUUGCAGUUUGUAGGCUGCCUUGCCUGCUCGCUUGAUGACAGUGAAAGGCCCCUCAUACUUUCGCAAAAGCCUAUGGUGUACCUUGCGAAAAGCCUUGAACUGUUUUGGUUGCAGCUUGAUCAACACUCGAUCUCCCUCGGCAAACUCCAAGGGUCGCCGCUUUGCAUCGGCCCACUUUUUCAUUCGGCGGGCCGCCUUCUCGAGAUAGGCUCUCGCAAUGUCCCCUUUCUCCUGCAAAUGAGAAGUGAAUUGGAGAGCCAUUGGGCUGCGGCCCUGCUCGCCUGCAGCAGCAGAAUGCGGAGUGAGUGGUUGCCUCCCCGUUGCCAGCUCGAACGGGCUAAGGUUUGUUGACUCGCUCCGCCGCAAGUUGUAGGAGAACUAGGCCACGUCCAGAUGAUGCACCCAGUCCUUCUGGUUGGCACUGACAUAGUGCCGCAAGUACUCCUCCAGUAGGGCAUUCACCCGCUCCGUCUGGCCGUCCGUCUGCGGGUGAAAACUGGUGGAAAAGAGCAACUCCGACCCCAAGAUCCGGAACACCUCUGUCCAGAACUUGCCCGUGAACCUAGGGUCGCGGUCACUCACAAUGCUUUCGGGGACGCCCCAAAGCUUCACCACAUUGCUGACGAAGAGCCGCGCCAUUUCUUCCGCCGUGCAAUCCGCUAGUGCCGCGAUGAAAGUCCCGUACUUGGAGAAUCGGUGCACCACUACGAGGAUGGACCCCAACGUCCCCACCUUGGGCAAGGCGGAGAUGAAGUCCAUGGAAAUGCUCUCCUACGGACGCGUCGGUGUAGGCAGGGGCUCGAGGAGGCCCCCAGGAUUCUGGCGUUCCACCUUGUCUUGCUGGCACACAAGGCAAGUCCGCACGUACGCCUCCACGUCGUCGUGCAUGCGAGGCCAAUAGUAGGCGGCCUCGAGUAGCGCCAUCGUCCGCUUCUGUCUUGGAUGUCCGGCCCAAUUGGAGUCAUGACAUUCCUUCAUGAGCUCGCGACGAAGAUUGCCCCAUCUGGGCACAUAGACGUGCCGCCCCUUGGUGAGGAGCAGCCCAUCGCUAAGCCAGAACCGCUACGCCUUGCCCUCCUUGACGAGUCGCACGAGUCCUUGGGCCACAGGUUCCUCGCAAGUCCCUUCGCAGAUUCGCUCCCUGAUCGCGCCUUGGAGGUGGCACACCGCUGCCAACUCGGCUUUGCGGCUGAGUGCGUCAGCCACUUGGUUGUCAAUCCCGGGUUUGUACAUGAGCUCCAUGUUGAACUCCGCCAGGAAGUCCUGCCACCUCGCCUGCUUGGGUGACAGCUUCUUCUGAGUGAGGAAGUAGCUCGUCGCGACAUUGUCCGUCCGCACAACGAACUUGCUUCCAAGGAGAUAGUGCCGCCAAGUCCUGAGGCAGUGCACUACGGCAGUCAUCUCCUUCUCUUGCACCGUGUAUUGCCGCACGGUGUCGUUGAGCUUGCGGCUCUCGUAGGCGAUGGGGUGUCUGUCCUGCACGAGAACACCACCAAUGGCAAAGUUUGAGGCAUCAGUAUGUACCUCGAAUGGACGGCUGCAGUCGGGAAGCCGCAACAUCGGAUCCUCUGUCACCGCCCGCUUUAAGUCCUCGAAUGCCUCCGCGCAUCGAGGGGUCCAGUCCCAUGACUGGGUCUUCUUCAGUAAAUCCGUCAGCGGGGCUGCUUGAGUAGAGUAGCCCGCGAUGAAACGGCGAUAGUAGUUGACGAGUUUGAGAAAGGAUCGCAGCUCGGACACCGUCGUGGGCGCCUGCCACUCGCAGAUCGCUCGCACUUUCUGCUUGUCCAUGUGGAGUUGUCCUCGGCCGAUCCAGUGGCCAAGGAAGUGCACCUCCUCAUUCGCAAAGGAGCACUUCUCCCUCUUGACAUAGAGUUAGUUUUCCCGCAGCACUUGGAAGAUCGUCCGCAGAUGCUCGACGUGCUCCUCCAAAGUGUUGCUGUACACGACGAUGUCGUCGAGGUACACUACCAUGAAGCGGUCGAGGUACGGGUGGAAUCGCUUGUUCAUCAGGGUGCAGAAGGUUGCCGACGCAUUCGUCAGGCCGAAUGGCAUGACGAGGAACUCGUAGGCUCCAUACCUCGUCACGCAAGCCGUUUUCUCCUCAUCGCCCUCCGCGAUCCUGACUUGGUAGUACCCCAAGCGAAGGUCCAAUUUGGUGAAGAACUUUGCUCCGCCAAGCUGGUCAAACAAGUCAGCAACAAAGGGAAUAGGGUAAUUGUUCUUUACCGUUACUUUGUUGAGCGCUCUGUAGUCAAUGCAGAGCCGCAGGCUUCCGUCGCUCUUUCUUUGGAACAAGACUGGUGCUCUGUAGGGUGCCUUCGACGGCCUGAUGAAGCCCGUAUCGAGGAGGUCCUUCAGUUGACGUUGCAACUCCUCGAGCUUUGGUGGGGCCAUGCGGUAUGGUGCCUUUGCUGGUGGCUUUGCUCCUAGCUCGAGCUUGAUCGCAUGGUCCACCUCCCGCCUGGGUGGAAGUCUCUUGGGCAACUCCUGGGGCAUGAUGUCCUUGAACUCCCCCAGGACUGCAUUGAUCAUCGCUGGAGGGCCCUCCUCCUCGAGGUCCUCUUCGCUCACCUCGUGGAUGGCCGCAAGGUAAGUGAUUUCGCCGCGCUUCACCCCCUUCCGCAAUUGCAGAGCGGAGAGGGUGUGGGUUGCCACUGGCUCGCCGCGGCUCGCCAAGACCAUGCAUGGGGCCGUCUCCUCCAUGAUGCUCAAGCCCCCAAGAUGCGGCAUUGGAACCGCCUUCGAUGAAGCGAGAAAGUCGAUGCCGAGAAUGACUUUGAAGUCGUUGAUGGUCGCGGCGGUGACGUUAGCUGUACCCGACCAGGGUCCUACAGCGAUCAUCACCCCUUUGGCUACUCCUACGAUAGGCUGUGCCAUCAAGUUGACAGCCUUGAUCUUGCUCGUGUCCUUCUCGAGUGUGAGGCCCAGCCGUUUGGCCUUAGACUCAGCGAUGAAGUUGUGGGUCACUCCAGUGUCCGCGAGCGCACGAGUGGCUCUCCCGUUGAGGGUCACGUCCACGAACAGCAGCUCCUUCUUGAGCGGUUUGCUGCUUGCCUGCUCCUGCAUCGCGCUGACGAGUCGUAGCGUGCCCAUCUUCGUCUCCGCUUGUUCCUCGCCCUCCUCGGCUUGGAUGGCGUUGACGGUCUUCUUCUUUGGGCAAUCUCUCGCCCAGUGAUCACCCCCGCAGACAUAGCAAGAGAUCGUCUUCUUCUUCUGCGAAAGGCCCUUUCGCUCUUGGCCCUUUUGAUCACGUUGCUCGCGACGGUCUCCCCCACCCUUGGCCUUGCCCGCCUUAGAUGGUUUGGCAUGAGCGAAGUCCGGCUUGUCAUACUCCAGUAGCUUCUCCGCUUGAGCGAUAGCGGAGCUUACAUCUUUGACGUCUCUCGCCACGAGCUCCUUGUUAGCCCAUGGUUGGAGACCGUCGAGGAAGAAGAACAGCCGAUCCUCCUCGGCCAUGCUUGUGAUGGCAAGCAUCAGCUUGGAGUACUCCUUGACAUACUCCUUGAGGGAUCCUGUAUGCUUGAGCCGUCGAAGUUGCCUCCGCGCCAGGUAUUCGACGUGCUCGGGGUGGAACUGUGCCUUCAGUUCGCGCACGAAGUCUUCCCAAGAAUCCAGUUUGCAUUGGCCCUUCUCGGCCUCUGCAGAACGCCGACGCCACCACAGCAUCGCAUCGUCGGUGAGGUACAUGGAAGCGGUCUGGACCUUGUCCUCCUCGUUCUCCAUCUUUAGCGCCUUGAGGUAGUGCUCCAUGUGCCAAAGGAAAUUGUCUAUUUCCUUCUCGUCGCGUGCGCCCUUGAAACAUUGGGGUUCAGGAACGUGUACCUUCGGGGUGUACUUUUUCUGCGUCUCGACGCCUCGAGCCACUGCCUUCUCAAGGAUAGUCACUCUCUUCUUGAGGUCCUCGACCUCGUCGACUCGAGUAACUAGCUCCUCAAUCAACUUUGUCCGCUCCUCGUCACGACGGGUGAUGUUGCCUUGGAGCUUCUCAAUCACGCUUCGAAAGGUUGCCAUGGCAGUGGCGACACUCUCCUCCAUACUGCGAACAUCAUCAUUAAAGGCGUUAAAGGUAUCGGCCAUCUCGGUGUACCUUUCACCCACCUUCGAUAGAAUGUUCUCCAACAGUGCAAGGCGUUCCUCCACAGAUGCGGAAUCCUUCGUGAGUCGCAUCUCCUUGCCCUUGCUCCGCUUGGAGGGUUGCUUUGGGGGACCUCCCCCAACGUCGACAAUUUCGGCAUCGGAUGACGACAUGGCUCCUUCUCGAACCGGCUCUGACACCAACUGUCACAGACUGAACGGUUUGGUUAGCAAAAUCCGUGCGGCGGUCGCCUUCCUUCGCGAAGUGAGCAAGCCUGCCCCUCUACUUGCUAAGUUAGGACCUCACUCGCCCUAGACUAAGUACAAGAGAGAUAUGAAGAAAGCUCUUCUAUUACUUUGAACUUGAGAAUACAAUAUGAGAUUCUGAAAUGAGAGGGGGUGGAGGCCACACUAUUUAUAGGCCACUCGCCGCCCAUAAUGCCAAUGAAAAGGUGCCAAGUGGCACAACACUACUAGCCAAAAGGGGAGGCCACGAGGUCUCCCAAGAGUCCUAAUAAAUAGCAUAGAAACUCGAAGAGUCAUACAUUUAUUGACUACCUAGAAACUCUAAGGGACUCUUGACUCUCCGGUAUCCGCACCGUCAGUCUCGAGAUCCGCGUAGAAGCUUUUAGAAGAUUCCAAGCCAAAACCUCCAUCAGAUGUCCGCUUUGGAGUUUGAGUGAUUGCAAAGCGAAAUCGCGGAGAAAAUCUUUAUGUCGUGACAGCCAGCUUCGGCUACGGAAUCUUUGCGAGACGGGCGCGGUCCGCCAUCGAGCCAGGCCGGGCAGGGCCGCCGGCUGCAGCUGCCAUGCUUGGGGCCUCAGGGCGCGGCGCAACCUGCGGACCCGGUGGGAGCGGAACUGAAGAAAAAACCAUAGUGUUUUUCUUUUCUUUUUUCCCCUUAGCUUCUUCCUCUUUCUGAUUAGAUUCUUUCACAGGGUUAUGGUGGAGAGAUGGUGGAGAAUCACAUCCAUAAGCAGUUCCUUUGAGAGAGAUAGAGAGAGAGAGAGGAAGGAGUGUGAAGAGAAAAGGAGGAUUUCUUUUUUUUUAUUCUAUUUAAAAAAGCAGUUCUUUUUUUUAUUCUACUUAAAAGUUCUGUAAUUAAGUUGGAGCUCACCAUUAGGUAGAGGGCUUAGAGGCACCCGGCGGCGUCGCGUGCAGCUUCGCGGACUGAGGAGUCUGAGGGGAGGUCUCUGACGCGCUUGACGAGGUGGGCGACGAUCCUGGGGAUGUGUUUGGCGGCGGCGCCAGGGUGGGCGGCGCAGUGGGCGGUGAGGAGGAGGAGGGAUUCGCGGCGCGCGGCGGCGGAGGGGAGCGGCGCGGAGGGGUCGUGGGCGAGGUCGGCGACGAGCAUGGGCACACCCUCGGGGCUUCACAACUUAUCUGUUUUUAUUUUUUUUAUUUCUGAUAUUAUGUUUUUUUUUUUAUUAUUAUUUACUCAAUAGAAAGUUCAAAAUAUCUUUUUUUUUAUAAUAAAAAAUAUUAUUAUCUAGGUAAACUUCUGAUUAUUUUUUUUACUCUAAUUUUUAUUCUCUUUUUUCACAAUUUUUCUAGAGCAUAUGACCCAUUUUUACUUUAUUUAAUCAUAUUUUUUCUUAACCAUACUGUAAAAAUAUAAUAUCUAGGUGAAUCUCUUUUUGUUAAAUAGAAAAUAAUCACAUGCUCCACAACUUCUUUUGUGACAUGUAUUCUUUUUUUUAUCUUGUUAAAAAAAAAAACACAACAUUUAGAUAAACUUUACUUUUUUUUAACUAUAAAUUUUUUUUAUUUUAUAUUUCUACUUAACUGUUUCAUUAUAAUUGUACUUAACUAUGAUAUAAAAUUAAUCGUUAACCGCAGCGAAGCGCGGGUUCUAUACUAGUUAUUAAUAAUAUUUUACUAAAAUUUUAAAAAGGGCUUGUAAACUUCACAACACUUUGCAUAAGGGUAGAGGUGUAAAACUGUCAUGCCUCGGGUCUCCAUUUUUCUCGAGCUCGCCAAUAGAUCUGCCGUAUACAUAAAAUUUUUUUAUGUAUACGAAGCGAUAGCUGAACCUGCAACAUAUAAGUACAACUACAAGAGAGUAACAGAGCUAAUAAAAUAGAAAUACAUAUAUAAGACCAACUGUACAAAUUAAAUAAGAGGUACAAACUCAGCUCCUCACUCUACAGUAUCUACAACUAUAUGUACAUUGCUACAAAAAGAAACUAUCUCCAAAAGGGUGCUCCUCUAGCAUGAUGACCGGGGUGGACGGGAAUUUAACUCGCAACUUCCUUGCCUCAAUCAGAUGCGGCAGCGUCAGCGACAGUCGAAGGCUCUGCAAAAAGAAUAAUAACAGUGAGUGUGAACAACUAUUAAGCUAGUAGUACUCAGUGGGUACGUCACCAACCUCAAUGGCCUACCUACUAAGUCUAUGAGACAAUAGUAAAGCUAGCAGGUAAAAGAAACAGUGAAUACUACAAAAAAUCUUGCAUUAAGGACACUUUAUAUAAUAAUUAGCGAUGCUUUAAAGUGUCGGCAAAAAUAAUCCUGACACUUGUAAAAGCGUCGAGCAAAGAGUCAUUAAAUAAACAUGUCGGGAUAAAUAUACCAACGUUUUAAUAUAGCGUCGGAAAAUUUUUAUAAAUAUUUGAUAAAAAUAUGUUUAUUGGCGAUGCUUAAUCAUAGUGUCAGCAAAUGCAAAAUAUUAAAGACGCCAGAAUAAAGCGUCGUUUAAAAAGCGUCGUCUAAAACAUAUUUUGUUGUAGUAAGCUGAAAGAAACUCUACAGCUAUUAUGUCACUAUACAACCUCUAGUCAUAUCAUGUUCUCUGUAUAUCCAUGCAUCACAAACUAAAAAAUAACUAUCUCAAACCCAAUCCAACAGAGACUGUCUGUACGGCCCGUUCAACCUGUGCCUAAGCUACACCGCACACCACCCUCGAGGUGGCCGGUCCGAGUAACAUGUCCAAAGAGGACAGCUGCGAUAUCAACGCGAGAAAGACAGACUCCGAAGCGGCACUCGUGAGUGCAACCUAACCGAGUAUGCAAGCGCGUCUCUAUUGAGCUCAAGUAGGCUCACAGGCUAUAAUCAAAGCGGAUUGUCAAUAAAUGAAGGAAUCAAAGCUCACGUGCCCUCGGUACAAUCAGAUGCAAUAAGUAUAGAUUUGGGUCCAUCGUCAAUCCCGACAGCACCCGUCAGUACGGAAUAGCCUAAACUAUGCUAUAAAAAUGAGGUUAGCAUCUCAGCACGAGCGAAAUCUCAGCCUACACUAGUCUAAGUAUUCACGACGCACUAAUCGCGGUGAUACAGAAGAGAAAUCAUGUCAUGCCCCAGGAUCUUUUGACAAAUCCUCUUUAAGAAAAGCAAGCGAAAACGUGUUGGUUUUGUGACUCUUGUACUUGAUGACCUACACGGUCGGCAUACCCUAAGGGGUAGGAAUGUCGGCUAGUUGCCGAUGGUUGGCUAUUGAGUAUAUCAGUAUCGAUCGCCACUGCUCGUACGCAUUUCACGAACACCAGGGGUUUGAUCCACCGCAAAGGGGUGUUCUUUUCUGGAAAAGUGGUUAGGAGUGUCAGCCCGUGGGCCCAGGAACUUAUGCUAGGGUUAUAUGCAGGUUAGAGUGGUAGUGGCACAGGACUGAGGUCUUUGGACCGACAUGGCGGUUACUGCAUUGGAUAUUUUGGGACUGAACGUCCGGUUGAUACAUUCAUAUACAGUAGCUGUCACGCCCCACGACCCGCCAAUUUGGUCGGAUCCGGGCACGUCGAUCAGAUGCCGAACGGAUAGCACCUCCCCUGUUCGCCCAAGGCUCAACAAUAGCAAUCAUGUACAAGAGUCUGCCCAGGAAAAACUCUAACAACAUACAUGAUCAAUGCGAAGCACCACAAGUGCUAUACAAUUAAGAGCAAGAAUCACAAGUAACAUACAAUGAAAUAAAGAGAGAUACAUCUAGCUAUUACAUCCGCACGGCAUUCAACAUGUAGAUCCUUGAUUACAUUUACAUCUCCAACAUGAAUAUACAUGGUGAUCUCCAAAAUACAUAAGAAACUCCCAAAAUACAUACAUCACUAGCAACCUCACCAUCAAAAUACAUAAGUCACUCGAACCAUAAUACAUAACCUCUCAAAAUGGUACCCGACUCUAAUGCACAUAGAAGUAACUAGCUAGCUAGGGCACUAUGGCCUUACCAUGGUCCUCUGCCGGUACACUCUCGCUAGGCCCUGCAACAAAAUAGGGUGAGAACUAUAUAAAUAUAGUUUCCAGUGGGUUCGGCCGCCGACACAGCCGAUCUUCCCACUAGGUCCAAGUAGGUACAAGCAGAUAGAUAGAUAGAUAGAUAUGAAAUUGAAGUGUAACAUAGUAAAGUAAUCUGCAACAUUCUACUAUGCCGUCAAUAACCAAUGGAAUGAGCUACAACAUAGUAUAUGAUCUAUGCAUCAAUAAUUCAUUGUAUGAGCAACUACAUAGUAUGCAAUCUACACAUGCUACUAUGUCUCAAAUGUCAAAUGGAUGAGCUACUACAUAGUAAUGUAUCCUGCAACAUGCUACUAUGCCUCAAAUAUCCAAGUACCAUAUCCAAGUGAAAUGCAUAAGCUACUACAUAGUAUACAUUCUACACAUGAUACUAUGACUCAAUAAUCAAAUGUAUGAACGAGCUACUACAUAGUGCGUCGUGCAACUAUACCUCGAUAAUCAGAAUGAACGACCCACUACAUAGUGCGUCGUGCAACCAUGUCUCGAUAGUAUCCAAUCUCAUGGCCAACCUGAAGGUUGCUACCCCGACUUACAUCUCAAAUCUCGGUAGUGGGGAGACUCUAUGCUACACCCACCCAAGACCCGUCUACGGGACAACUACGUCUGUCCCAACACGACUACUACUCCGGAGCUCACUACUUGGGUGGAACGACCACGCCAAGGUUAUACAGACUAUGUGAGUAUGAUCCAAUCUCUACACUGGAGGAUACCCUAUCUAUUAGGGCCACAAUGCCUCAACUGCACUAAUGCCAAAUGCAUAAUGUCCACAACAUGACAAUCGGGAAAAAUCUACUAUCCUUAGGUUUAAAUGCCAUAGUGUUCCACUACACUAGAUUUGAUGCCACUCAUUUAUGCCAUGAUGUUGUAUGUGUCUCAAUACACUAGAUCGACAUGCCACUCGUCCAUAUUAUAGUGUCUCUAUUACACUAGUCCAAAUGCCACUCAUCUAGGCCAUUUACAUGUCCAAGUUCAUCAUCAUUUUGUCACUAGGAUUCUUGUCACAAGACCCAAUCCUCAUGCAACCUAAGAUCAAGUGUCAAGCCCACAAUGUUACACAACCUAGGUAACAUGCAAGGAAUGGAAAUCCAAUCAUCUACUAAUCCUAUAAUGCACAAUGUAUCAACAUAUGAGAAUAAGAUCAAAUACAUAGAACUUAGACAUAAAAGGAAACCCGGUUGCUUCGGGAUAGACACCCCCCACCUUUAGGUGAUGUCACGAUGCUACGAUUUCGGUUUCGUGAUUUUUGGAAGCUUAUGCCGCGAGCUACGGCAAUCUGUACCGAAAUCGGCCUUUUCUUCAAUAUCUUCACGUAGGCUCGACGAAUCGCCAAACCGACUUCACCAACGCAUUCAUAUACCUAGCAAUUAGGUUUGUAUAGGGUUAAUUUAGAUCAAACCCCACUAGUGAGCAAAACCCCAUUUUUGUAGCCCUAAAACCCCAUUAUUGCAAAGUGCUUCAUCUAGCUCAUUACUCUUGCAAUAAAUGGAAAUAGCCACAUCUAGGGGUCCAUUAAAUUCCACUCCUUGGGUUUAUAAAUCCAUCCUUAGCAUUCUACCAUGAGAGGGGUUCAAGAGCUUACCUCUACAAGCUAUUCCUCCCAAGCUAAGGAAGAAGAAGGUGAUGAUGCUCCAUCUCAAAGCUCUAGUCUCCUUUUUUCUCCUCCUCUUGCCUUCCUCCUUGAAGAAAGAGAGAGAGAGAGAAACACCUUAGAGAGAGAGAGAGAGAGAGAGUUUAGGGUUGAUGGAAUGAGAGAAAAUGAGAGAGACAUCCCUCAUAUAACUCCCCCUUAUAGCCAAAUUGCCAAAAGCCCCCUAAACUAUGCAAACUGCUCUAAACUGGGUAUUUUCGGGUCUCGGGGACCGGUCCUUGGCUUGAGGGACCGGACCUCGUAGGUCCAAAAAUUCUGCAUUUCCAAACUUAGCUAAAAUUUCAGCCUUUUCGCCAAUUUUGGUAUGUUUUCGCUCAUUUUCACUCCGUGGGUCUCCGAUUCAUUUCAAAUCGAACCGAGGCUCUCAAAACAUGUUUUCAAGCGCGUUUACAUCAUAUUUUCAUCCACGCUAAUGCCGGAUUUAGUCCAUGGUCCAACAUAGCCUUUCGGGUCCCGUUUUCGCCCCUACGCGCUCCGAAAAAGCCUGAAUGCUUCCGAACUUCACCGAAACAUUCUAAUGGCUUUCCAAACCAACAUAUCCCGUAACUUCAUAACUUUAGAAGUUCGGUAUGUUACACAUUGAGGUUCUCAUUCCUUACCUCCUCCCCUCCUUAAAAAGAGUUUCGUCCUCGAAACUCAAAUCACUCAUCCAUUCGAGUUAUCGAGCGACAGAGGGUAUUAAUGCACUUUUCCACUCCGGAGUGGCCUUCCUCUUGUCGGAACUAUCCAAAGGCCCAUUAUGGAGGAUGUGAGACCAAACUCACUCACUUUUGCCAAAUGCAACACUAAAAGUGCAUUACGGCUCCGUGCCCUUGGUGGCAGCGUAAGUCGAUACUUAAUGACUCUACACGCUUCAACACCACUCGCAGACCAACAUGCAAAGGACUUCUCUUUGCAUUUCACACCCCAAUCAGGGAACACACUCCGAUUCUAUCACCGGCAUUGCCUAGAAGCAAUAUCAUUGGUGCAUCGACCAAUCGCGAGUGCUACUAUCAUAAUCGGAUCUUUCCUCUACUACGAGAUGGCACAAUUCUCAAGAGAGCAUCAUCCGCAAUCUCACGUGGCUAUCCGGUAUUCAAGUGUCUCCAAGAGACCACUUUACUUUCUCUUUCAAUCGCCACGACCAAUAUCAAAUCGCUCUACAACGAGCUCACAUGAACAUUCUGUUCGCGAAUCCAAGCCAAACUCCUCGACAGAGUUAUUGGCCAAACCGAUUACCUCGGUUUCCAUGGGUGGACCAACAGUCACCAACUCUACAUAGGCCUAUAGCCUAAACCUGUCGUGAUACUCGUAACGUCUCUCGCUCGCAAGCGUAGACCCAAUCAUAACUGGGCGAAAUUCUCACUUGGGAAUUGGCACACACUCCUACCAGGAGCAACCAUAACCCCAAACCUCAUCAAACCUCAGGUUGGGUCACUACACACUCGGUGUAUCCUCGAUAUCGCGAUCCAACAGGUGGCAUUCCACGUUCCCGGGUCUAAGCUCGAACUACCGUCCUCACCAAAACUCUGCCCUACUCGCAGGUACCGAGCCGCUGUCAAUCACAGCUGACUGCGCCUGUCCAUUGGGCCCAGGCUCCACAGUCCACAAAUGGUCCAGGCACGGGUCGUCCCCAAGCAACACUCGCCGUCGUCGUCCUACACAACACGCUCUACCGAGCCACAUGCACUACCACCGGCUCCUAUGCACCUAGUACGAGCCAGUAGCCCUACGAGUGAUCCAUGACCCACUUCACACUUAGCCAUACUGAAGUGCUACUGCCAUCUCACUCUCCUUCGGCUGAAUCAAAUCUGCACUCCACGAGUAUCUAUACUCGCGCGCUCUACGCCUCUACAGCGUUCCACACGAAGCCCAGCAUUAGGCAACCUUGCCCAUGCACACAGGUUACACAAGCACGACUCACCUACCUCAAUUCGAGGUACUACCAGGCCCACGCGCCUGUACCCGGCAACUAAUUGGCUACUCUCUCAACAGUGAUUCUACUUUCACUGUUCGAUCUACCGAAACAACAUUCGUAACACUCGGACUACUCGGGUAUCCACAAGUAUCAUGGCUCAACUCUCGCAAUCUACUGAUCACAUUGCCUUGAGAGUCGCUUCACCAUUUCCUCUCUAUCACGAGUCUCAUCUCUUGUCCAAGAACCACCACUAGCAAUUUGCUAGUGCCAUCUAGCUCUCUACCUGCUCCAGCAGACACUACACUCUCACACGGAAGCAUGCCCAGGUAUUUUUACCUACCCGUCCACUGGUCCCUACUAUACUGAUGCAUAAAUAGUAGCAACAGACCAUAACAAUGCAUGCAAUGUUCCUCGACCUGGGUCGCGCCCUCAUGGCCACUCGGCACACGCCGUGGACCCUUCGAUCCGCCAUGUCCUCAUAACUCACUCUCCCGACCAUGCUAUAGGUGGCACACCCGCAGGCUAUCUCGGAGAGGAGAAGGCAGUCGCCAACGCCAAGGUCCGGUCUUCCCCUCAGCGGCGCUCAUCUUGCCCAUGGCCCGGCCGCCCACAAUGCCCAAUCCAUGACUUCGGCAAAAGUUUGCAACUUAAGAGUAUGCACAACUUUGGAAAUCUCCGGCCAAAGUCCUCGUACAAGCGAUCAGCUUGAUCCUGUCAUCCCGCACCACAUUCGGGACACAACUCACGAUACGGGAGAACUCCUGCUCGCACUAAGUAUAGAUCCUCAAACAGAGUUUCGAUGGAAUCAAUCCACAACUCCACAAUCCACGGAUCUACAUCCUCUCCAUCAAAGGUAGGCGGAUCAAAUUCCUUGAAAAUCAUGAGGGCCGCCAAAGCUCGCUCCCUCACCGCCUCCACCUUUGAAGUGUUAGAAAUCGGAUUGCCCGACUCUGACAGAAACACCUCUGUCGCGACUCCCAGCCAUACUCGACGAGCCAAAACUGGUGCGGUCACCAAUCGACCAACCGUUUCUUGGAGUCUCUUAAUCCGCUCCUCCUGGCGCACGACAGCCUCUUGCUGUCGUUGCACCAAUUCGACUCAUUGCCUUGCCACUCCUAUGAGUGGCGAGCCGCUCGUGAAGUCCUAAGUCUUCGCUUGCCUCGGACUGCUCAAGGACAUCACUUGUCCUAUCCCGUGCCGAUCUAGACGAAGAUCGCCUACGCGGUACCAUCGUCGAUCUCCUAAACCGCAACAACACAGUUGGUCUCGACCCUCAAGGUCGAACACGUAACAACUAACAUUGACUCGACUCAAAUCAGGCGAAAGUCAUACAAGGGUGCCUAUUCUCAUCACUCGGUUUCAUGUUGUAUGCAUCCGACAUGAACACCCUCUGUCGAGAAUAAACUGAACCUUGAAUCCACCUCUAACAUCCGUCUUAGAGGUUUACUAACUUGACCUAAUCGAUCAAUCUUUCGCCACAACGCAUAGGUUCACGUCACUCACGCACAUAUGGCCUUAUGGUUUACCAACCUAGGGUCUCCUAGGUCAAUCCUAGACUCUCUCUUUAUUUGCUCUUAACUUGCUCUGAUACCAUUUUAUCUGUCACGCCCCGUGACCCGCCAAUUUGGUCAGAUCCGCGCACGUCGAUCAGACGCCGAACGGAUAGCACCUUCCCUGUCUGCCCAAGGCUCAACAAUAGCAAUCAUGUACAAGAGUCUGCCCAGGAAAAACUCUAACAACAUACAUGAUCAAUGCAAAGCGCCACAAGUGCUAUAUAAUUAAGAGCAAGAAUCACAAGUAACAUACAAGUGAAAUAAAGAGAGAUACAUCUAGCUAUUACAUCCGCAAGGCAUUCAACAUUUAGUCCUUGAUUACAUUUACAUCUCCAACAUGAAUAUACAUGGUGAUCUCCAAAAUACAUAAGCAACUCCCAAAAUACAUACAUCACUAGCAACCUCACCAUCAAAGUACAUAAGUCACUCGAACCGUAACACAUAACCUCUCAAAAUGGUACCCGACUCUAAUGCACAUAGGAGGUAACUAGCUAGCUAGGGCACUAUGCCCUUAUCACGGUCCUCUGCCGGUACACUCUCGCUAGGCCCUGCAACAAAGUGGGGUGAGAACUAUAUAAAUAUAGUUCCCAGUGGGUUCGGCCACCGACACAGCCGAUCUUCCCACUAGGUCCAAGCAGGCACAAGCAGAUAGAUAGAUAGAUAGAUAUGAGAUUGAAGUGCAACAUAGUAAAGUAAUCUGCAACAUUCUACUAUGCCUUCAGUAACCAAUGGAAUGAGCUACAACAUAGUAUAAGAUCUAUGCUUCAAUAAUCCAAUGUAUGAGCAAUUACAUAGUAUGCAAUCUACACAUGCUACUAUGCCUCAAAUGUCAAAUGGAUGAGCUACUACAUAGUAAUGUAUCCUGCAACAUGCUACUAUGCCUCAAAUAUCCAAAUACCAUAUCCAAGUGAAAUGUAUGAGCUACUACAUAGUAAUGUAUCCUGCAACAUGCUACUAUGCCUUAAAUAUCCAAAUACCAUAUCCAAAUGAAAUGCAUGAGCUACUACAUAGUAUACAUUCUACACAUGAUACUAUGCCUCAAUAAUCAAAUGUAUGAACGAGCUACUACAUAGUGUGUCGUGCAACUAUGCCUUGAUAAUCAGAAUGAACGAGCCACUACAUAGUGCGUCGUGCAACUAUGCCUCGAUAGUAUCCAAUCUCAUGGCUAACCCGAAGGUUGCUACCCGGACUCAUAUCUCAAAUCUCGCUAGUGGGGAGACUCUGUACUACACCCACCCGAGACCCGUCUGCGGGACAACUACGUCUGUCCCAACGCGACUACUACUCCGAAACUCACAACAUGGGUGGAGCGACCACGCCAAGGUUACACAGACUAUGUGAGUAUGAUCCAAUCCCCACACUGGAGGAUACCCUAUCUACUAGGGCCACAUUGCCUCAACUGCACUAAUGCCAAAUGCAUAAUGUCCACAACAUGACAAUCGAAAAAAAUCUACUACUCCUAUGUUCAAAUGCCAUAGUGUUCCACUACACUAGAUUUGAUGCCACUCAUUUAGGUCAUGAUGUUAUAUGUGUCUCAAUGCACUAAAUCAACAUGCCACUCUGUAGCAUACUGGACCUUUGCAAAUUGCGAGGUUCGAGUAUUUGAUAUGUAUUCUGAACUUUUCCACACUUGGUGGAAGGUCGUAGAUGGUAUUCCGGCCUAAAAGUUCGAUCGCUAGAGUUUUGGUAAGUCCUGAGAGUUUUCACUCUCGGGGACCGGUCCCUGAUAUGAGAAACCGGUCCCCUCAGAACAGUGCUGUGGUAGGACUUGAGGCAACCGGUCCCUGGCUGGGAGAGACCGGUUCCCGAACGCGUGUUUUGCGAGAAGCGUUCGAGAGACCGGUCCCUUGCGGGGAGAGAUCGGUUCCCGAACGUUGGUUUUGCGGGGCAGGCUGAGGGACCGGUCCCAGGUGUCGGGGAGACCGGUCCCUCAGCAUGAAAACUGCCCAGACCAGGCAGUGCACAGGUUGCAUUUUAGAGGGACCUAGGUGGAUUUUGUUACAUUUGAAGGCUUAUAGAGCCUUUUCUCUCCCUCUAACCCUCAUUUUCACCCUCCUUACACUUCUAGAGAGAGAAGAAGAAGGAGAAGAAGAAGGAGAAGUUGGAGAGCUAGCUUGAGGGAGCCUUGGAGCAUCUUCCUCUUUCCUAUUUCUCACUUUUGGAGGCUUAGAGCUUGGACUUGGAGCUUUGUGGUGGAUUAAUCUUCAAUCCUAAAACAUUUUGAGCUUGGUUUGGAUCUCCUCUUGAGGUUAGUUGCUUAUUUCUCCCCUUUAGACCUAUUUUUGGUAGAUUUUGGGAGAUGAAACUCUAGAUUUGGAUUUUAGGGUUUAUUUUCGGGAUUUUUGAUUUGAGGGCUUGGAGACCUAAUUGAUGGGUUUAGAACCUUCCUCUAGGUUGGGUUGGAAGGGUUCUUGCCCUCUUUGGAAGCUUGGGCAGGGAUUUCAUCACACGAGGUGAGUUAUGCCCUUUAUGCUUAGAUGGUUUAAGAUUGAGCUUUUUGAUGUUCGUUUCGAUUGUGUAACUCUUGUUCCUACAUCUUUAGGGUGCUAGGAGACUAGUGGACACCUCCGUUCGGCGAAACGAAGAGUUUCGAUUUUCGGUGGGUUUGGCUACAUGAAAACGGGGCGAAAUAGCCCCCAUGUUUUCUAUACUUGUUGUAAUGUCAUUUUAAAUGCAACUCUAUGCUUAAUGGAAAUUAUGUGAAUUUUAGAACACUUAAAAUGCAUGUGUUAUGUAUAAGAAAAUUUGCACUCUAUAUAGUAGAGCAUUCUGGGUAUUGUUACAUGCAUUUGGGUAGUGUUCGCAUUAGUCGUUUGGAAACAUGCUUCAUAUGUUUAAAGUGGCUCAAUUAUCAUUUGUGAACACUUGGGUUAAGCUUGGACUUGUAAAUGAAAGUGUUAUAAAGGGGCACUUAGACUAGCACACUAUGAGACUAUUAUUUUGAGACUUAGAGAUAGGCCAUGGACAUCUACUACUUUUCAUGUUUAAGACAUGAUGACAUAGAGAUAGGCCUAUGAGAAAGUUGUGACAUAUUCCAUGUUGUUAGACAUGAGGACUUAGUACUUGAGACGGAUCUUUCGUUACUUGCCAUUGUGCUCAUUCGCACAUGCUUGUGAGGGUCGCUCCCUACAGCCGGCACCCGGAGAUGGCCAUCGCGAUACAUAUUCCCGUGCGGGAUUGGACGCUGAAGGGAUUGCCGGGGGAAAGGCUCAUUCCUACAGUGGGGAUGUUGACUACCACUGGGCCAUUAGCUCGCACCGCCAGACAUCCUACGGUGGUUCUCAGGGCCAGACAGCCUCGGCGGUCUCUCCCAGAUUUGAUUUGAGCAUUCAUCACGCCAUGUGACAUUGAUUAGAUAUAAACAAUAACAUCUUUACUAUUUGACUUAUGGACAUCAUACACGCGAUGCUUGUACAUUCAUGACGAGAAUAGCUUUUCUUAGUUAUACUAAAUCAUGCUAAGUAGAGAUAUCAUGUGGUAGCAAAUAUUCAAUGUUAUUUACUUGCGUGACCUAUCGUUUUGUUUAUUUUGCUUACUGACACCUUUUUUAGUUUGGGCCUAGUGGUGCAUUCACUGAAGCCAGUAAUUGCCCACUGGGAAUAUUUAUUUUAAUAUCUCACGCCCCCCUGUUUUAUGGUUUUAUUUCAAGCCUUCGCACGCGGCGGAGUCACGGGAUCGCGGCAAGGGAGUCGCGUAGCUAGUUAGCGGGGAGCUACUUUUGAGCUAGUGGUUUACUCUUUCUUAUUGUAUUAGGAAGAGAGAUUUUGAGUAUCAUGUAUAGAGAGACCACCUAUAUACUCUUUAGUUUAGUUUUUGUAUUUAGGAUUUCCUUUGUACUACUUUAUGGCUUUAUUAGUGAUUUCAGUUUUAUACUUACCCCCUGUGUAGAACUUAGUUAAUUACUUUGCUCUGAUAUCGUUAGAUUCCUUUGUUCUACUGCUGUAAUACACUGGAUCUUAGCAAAUUGCAAGAUUCGAUGUGUUUGAUCUGUGUGUGGAGCUUUUCCACAUUUUUGGAGGGUCGUUGUUAGUUGUCCGACCGUGGCACGCACCCGAGGGUGUUGGUUUGAGACGUGGCACCAAAAUCCUAAAUGGAAUUUUUGGUCAGCCUCGAUAGCCUGCAGCAGGGCUUGACCGGAACAAGACCUGGUCUUGUCCGGUACAAGGAGUGAUGGUUGUACCGGUACAGCCAUCGGGCUUGUACCGGUACAGAGACGCAGACCGCGCGACCCGAGCCUCGGGUUUGCAUUUUCGCAGGGCUUGUACCGGUACAAGAGCCCGUGUACCGGUACAAGGAGGCAGAUUUCGUGCAGUUUGAACUGCAGGGGGUUUUUCGCGAUUGUAGCUUAUCUAUUAGUAACCCCACGCCCCUUAGGGCUUCCCUGAGCUUCACAGCAGCAGGAGAAGAGGUAGGGGAGUUCUCCACACCCUCCCUCUCUAUUUCUUUGAUCUUGGUUGGUUUAAUUUUUGAUUUAAGCCUCUCUUUUCCCUCUUUUUGCUUCUUGGUGUUCUCCCUCCAUAGAAGGAGCUUGAAGCUUGGUUUUGGAGCUUGUUUGAGGGGAGAUUUUCAGAUUUUGGGGACUUGAACACUUGUUGGAGGCUUCCAAAGAGUUUAGAAGCUUAAUCUUUUUCUUUGAUCCUUAAUUUAUUGGAUUUCUUGAGAUGAAACCCUAGAUUGUGAUAUUAGGGCUUAUUUUGGGUAUUUUGAAUCUAGGGCUUUUGAAGCUAGAUUGAGUGGAUUAGAGGCUUCCAUUAGGUUGGAUUGGAUGAACCCUAGCUCUCUUUUGGAGCUUUAGAGGAGAUUUUUGCACUAGAGGUGAGUUUUUCUCGCCUAUGCUUGAGUAGCUUAAUGAUUGAGCUAGGUAUUGUUCGUUUUACCCGUAUGACACAUGUUUCUAUACCUCUAGUGUACUAGGAGAUUAGAGGACACCCUCGUUGGAGCGAACGAGGAGUUUCGUCGUCAUCGGUGGGUUUGGCUUCGUGAAAAUGGAGCGAAAUGGCCCCUAUGCUCUUUACACUUGUCGUAAAAUAUUUUUAAGUUCAUUUCUAUGUUACAUGGAAUUUAUAUGAAUUAUAGAACACUUAAAAUGCAUGCCUUGUGUAUUAUGAAAAUUUCACUAUAUAGUAGAGCUAUAUGAGUAGAAUGCAUGCAUACGGGAAAAAUGUUUAUUUUUGCAAGUGAAAAAUACAUCUCUUAUGAGGAUGAUGACUUGGAAUAUGUACUUUGGAACAUAGUUGCCAUGCUUGGAACUUGUUGAACAAAAGUGUCAUUAAGCGGCACUUGGAACUAGCAAACUGUUAAACUGCAACAUAGAGACAUAUUGAUAGGCCACUAUGUAUUUGCUAUAUUCCAUGUUAGAGACAUGAUGACAUAGAGAUAGGCCAUUGAGAUACUUGAUAUAUUCCAUGUUGUUAGACAUGAGGACUUGGUACUUGAGACGGAUCAUUGCUUGCUUGCCAUUUGUGCUCAUUCGCACAUGCUUGUGAGGGUCGCUCCCUACAAGCCGGCACUCCGGAGAUAGCCAUCGCGACAUAUGCUCGCCCGUGCGGGAUUGGGCGCCGAAGUGGAUUGCCGUGGGGGAGGCUCAUCCCUAGAGUGGGGAUGUUGACUACCACGGGGCCAUUAGGCACGGCGCAGGCCAGACAGCCUUCGGGUGGGUCUUAUAUGAUUGGGACUUGGUGACAGAACAUGCUAUGUGAACUUUAUAACUGUUAAAGUGGACUUGGACUAGAAUAGUAAACAAUGACAUCUUUACUAUUACAUUGUGGACUUUGGGUAGUUGCAUAAUCAUGCUUUAUAUGUUGGGUGUUCAUGUGCAUAUAGCUAGUAGUUGCUUCCUUACUUAUGUAAAUUAUGCUAAGUAGAGGUAUCAUGAUUAUUGGGUACUCGUUUAUUUAUUUACUUACAGUGCAUUUAUCGCUUUUGUUAUAAUGUACACUGACCCUUUUUCUAUAGUUUCGGGCCUAGUGGUGCAUUUCACUGAAGUCAGUAAUUGCCCACUGGGAACUAUUUUUAAUAGUUCUCACGCCCCUGUUUCUAUGUUUCCUUUUCAGAGCCUUCGGCACCGGCGGAGGCACGGGAUCGCGGCAAGGGUGUCGCGUAGCUAGCUCGCGGAGAGUUCUUUUGCGCUAGGUGGUUACUCCUCCAUUUUUAUAUUUUGUGAGAGGGGGAGAGGUUUUGUACCAUGUAUAGAGAGACCACCUUGUACUCCUUUUAGCACUUGUUAUGGGAUCCCUAUUGUUCUUACUUUAUGUUUUUACUUAGUGGACUUUCAGCUUUAUGUCCUUUCCUUGUUAUAGAACUAGUUAUACAAUGCUCUGAUAUCUCUAGAUCUCUUGUAUUAUUGUUUGAAAUUUUUGUAGACGCCUUAUAUGUUUUAGACGUAUGGCGGGUCUGGACACGCGCCGGGUAGGCUUUCGCUGAGCCCCGGGGCGUGACAACUGCUUUAUUUAUCGUUUUGUUUUAGACGCCUUGUAUGUUUUAGACAUAUGGCGGGUCUGAGUACGCGCCGGGCGGGCUUCCGCUGUGUCCCGAGGCGUGACAGAUUAGUAUCAGAGCCUAGGGUUGAGUCUUAGUGGACCUAGCAAACCUUAGGCCGGUUGGACUAUAGGAAAUAGGCUCGUGAGGGAUGAGGUCUAUUUGACUUGUAAGCGAAAGUAUCGUGAUUGGGUAUCUUGACAACUUUAGAAAGUGGAGUUAAAUUGAAGUGUAUAGCUCCUAACUUCGCGGAGGGUUACGUUGGCGGCCGACAACGUAACAUCGGGAGUUAGUAGUGAAGUACAUUUCAUUACUUUCGCAUGAUUUGGGGCAUUACCUUCUUGAGUGGGGAUUCGAUGUCGUGAGUUUACUAACUUACGCUUUUAUGAUAUUGUAGUGUGAUACCAAUUACACGCUCCUAAUUUGCCGGAGCGGAUAACGCGGCAAAUCUGGAGGAGGUCGAGACCUCCGCUACCUCCGAAUCCGGCGAGGUUCGAGAGUUGAGGGGCCAGCUUGCGGCCCUCACUGAUAUGGUGGCACAGCAGACUGAGGCGGCGCGCCGAUAGGAGGCGCGGAUGAAGCGCCUGGAGGAUCUUCUGUUACAGCAGGCGGCGGCUUCCAGGGAGACUCAGGCCCCUACACCGCCAGCACCAGUCGUGAACGUCGCGCCGAGAGCGCCAUCCCCUCGCCCAGUUCUUCACGUGCAGCGCUCGCGGUCGCGCCUUAGGAGGAGGCUAUUGCGACACCACCUGAGGCCUCCGGUUGGAGCAGCUUUUCCUACCUUGGUCGAGGGAGCGGAAAGGGACAGACUGAUGGAACGCCUCAACGAGUUCAAGAGGUGCAGUCCUCGGAUCUUCGAUGGCGAGAAGGUCGACCACUGGAUCGUGGAGAAGUGGUUGAUGCAUAUGGAGAAGCUCUUCCGCGACACCUUCGUGGAGGAGAGAGAUCGAGUUUGGCUCACCACACACCAUUUGGACGGCGAGGCCUACCGCUGGUGGGUGGAUCUCCAGGAGAACCCCAGCACUGAUUUGGCGGCUAUUACGUGGAAGAGGUUCAAGGAGCUUCUUUUGACACACUACUUCCCGACCAGCGUCAAGAGGAAGAUGGAGCAGGAUCUGCGCAACUUGCGCCAAGGUGAUCGGACUGUGGCCGAGUACGAGCGGGAGUUUUCUCGGCUUCUUCACUGCGUGCCUUUCAUCGUGCGAGACGACGAGGACAAGGCCCGCAUCUUCGAGCCAGGGUUGCGACCGUCGAUCUUUCGGUUUGUGCAAUCCUCUAAUCUCCAAACCUAUCGGGAGGUGGUGGAUCGCGCGCUCAUAGUGGAGAGCGGCGCAGCAGAGGUCCAGGAGCGGCAAGAGGCGAUGGACAAAGGUAAGGCCAAGAGGCCUGCGGCAAAGGGUGCGAGCCAGACGCACUCUAGGAGGCCGCCGAAGCAUCCUAGGAGCCAGCAGCGUGGACGCGGCUCAGCAGCGCAGCGAGGAGGUUCUGACCGUCGCCGGCCUUACCCGUGUGUGAUCUGCGGUGGUCCUCAUUUCCCACCGCAGUGUCCACAGCGGGUGGGCAGGUGCUUCCAGUGUGGCCAGGAGGGCGACGUUCGGACUGAGUGCCCGAGAGGUCCUUCACUAGCACCGUCGACUACAUCGGCACCGGCUCUACCAGCCGUCAGCCAUGGGACUCCGUCGACACAGUACCAGCUUGAGCGGCCACCCGUCGAGCGCCAGAGCGAGGGAUUUCGACAGGCCCCGAGUGGGCAUUUGUAUGCCGCUCAGACCGAGCAGGCGGCAGCAGCCAAGAAUGUGAUUGCAGGUAUCAUUUUACUUCAUGGCAUUAGAGUUCGUGCUUUAUUUGAUACCGGUGCAUCGCAUUCAUUUAUAGAUCGGUUGUUUGCCGAGUUGCAUGGCAUCCCUAUAUUUUCUUUGUUGCAUCCGGGACGUGUAGUUGUCCCCGACCACUCUUUGGAUAUUAGAGAGUAUUGUCCCAGUUGCUCUAUUUGGGUAGGAGAUUGGAUCAUGCCCGUAGAUUUGCUAGCCCUGUGCAAGCUAGGGGAUUUCGAUGUGGUCUUGGGUAUGGAUUGGCUAACCAAGUAUUAUGCCACGAUUGAUUGUAAGAAUCGCACGGUUACUUUUAAAGAACCGGGGCAGACUGAGGUUGUGUUUAGUGGAUGCCGGAGUUCGCUUUUUGCGAUGUCGAUCAGCUCGUCUCGAGCUAGGCAGCUGAUCAGCCGAUGAUGUGUAGCUUACUUGGCUAGUGUUGUAUUGAGGGGCGAGGAUGACACCCCUAGGAUUGAGGAUAUCCCGGUGGUACGGGAGUUCCAGGACGUGUUUCCAGCUGAGCUACUGGGUAUGCCACCCGAUAGGGAGAUUGAGUUUGUGGUAGAUCUCGUCCCUGGGACUACCCCAAUCUCGAAGGCACCCUAUAGGAUGGCACCGGCGGAGCUGAAGGAGCUGAGGGCACAGCUACAGGAUCUGUUGGACAAGGGCUUCAUUCGACCGAGCGUCUCGCCGUAGGGAGCGCCAGUUUUGUUCGUCAAGAAAAAGGACGGAUCACUUCGCCUAUGUGUGGAUUAUCAUGAGCUUAAUAAAGACACGAUCAAGAAUAAGUAUCCGUUGCCGAGGAUCGAUGACUUGUUUGAUCAGCUUCAAGGAUCAUGUGUGUAUUCCAAGAUAGACUUGCAGUCGGGAUACCACCAGUUAAAGAUCAAACCCGAGGAUGUAUCGAAGACGGCUUUUAGAACACGGUAUGGACACUAUGAGUUCACAGUUAUGCCGUUUGAGCUUACUAAUGCUCCGAUAGCUUUUAUGGAUCUGAUGAACCGUGUUUUUAAGCCUUAUCUAGACAGGUUCGUCGUGGUAUUCAUCGACGACAUUUUGGUUUAUUCCCGAAGUGAUGCGGAUCACGAGGAGCAUUUGAGGCUAGUACUUCAAUUACUUCGGGAAAAGGAGCUUUAUGCCAAGCUGAGAAAGUGUGAAUUUUGGCUUCGAGAAGUAGCCUUUCUUGGACAUUUGAUAUCGAGAUCGGGUAUAGCCGUGGAUCCUAAGAAGAUUGAGGCUAUCAAGGAUUGGCCGAGACCGACGAGUGUCACGGAGAUACGCAGCUUCCUUGGAUUGGCCGAUUACUACCGGAGAUUUGUCGAGGGGUUUGCUAAGCUAUCUACUCUCCUCACGAGGCUCACGCAUAAAGGUGUCAAGUUCAUUUGGAAUGAUGCGUGUGAGAGAAGCUUCCAAGAGCUGAAGCAACGACUGACGACCGCCCCGAUCCUGACCCUACCUGUUGCUGGAGCAGGGUAUGUGGUUUAUAGUGAUGCAUCUCUUAAUGGAUUGGGCUGCGUUUCGAUGCAGGAUGGCAAGGUGAUCGCGUGUGCUUCUCGCCAACUGAAGGAAUAUGAAAAGAAUUACCCUACACACGAUUUGGAGUUGGCGGCCGUAGUUUUCGCAUUGAAGUUAUGGCGCCAUUACUUAUAUGGCGAGCGGUGUGAAGUAUACAUGGAUCACAAGAGCUUGAAGUAUUUGUUCACUCAGAAGGAGUUGAACUUGAGACAGCGCAGAUGGUUGGAGCUGCUCAAGGAUUAUGAUUUGACUAUUCUUUACCACCCGGGCAAGGCUAAUGUAGUGGCGGAUGCGCUAAGUAGGAAAUCUACGGAAAACUUAGCGAUGCAUGUUGUUACUCAACUGCAGUUGAUCGAGCAGAUGAAGCGGUUGGAGUUGGAGUUAGUGACUCCUGAUACACUUUUGAGAUUAAUGACCUUGGUAGUGCAACCUAUGCUCUUGGAUAGAAUUAAAGAGAAGCAAGCUUCUGAUGUGGAGUUGCAAAGGAUUAAAGGUAAAAUGGUUGAUGGUUGUACCGGCGACUACCUUGUGGAUGACCAAGGAUUUACGCGUUUUCGUGGACGGACUUGUGUACCGGCGGAUUCGGAAAUUAAAGAGGAUAUUCUUCAAGAAGCGCACCGAGCGCCCUAUGCUAUACAUCCGGGAGGCAUCAAGAUGUACAAGGACUUGAAGUUGCUUUAUUGGUGGCCCGGGAUGAAAAAGGACGUUUGUGAGUUUGUCGCUCGUUGUCUAACUUGCCAACAAGUAAAGGCUGAGCAUCGAUUAUCCGCGGAAAAACAUCAGAGCUUGCCUAUUCCCGUGUGGAAGUGGGAAAAGAUUACCAUGAAUUUCGUAACUGGAUUGCCCCGCUGUCAGGCCGGGCAUGAUGUUAUAUGGGUGAUCGUGGAUAGGUUGACGAAGUCGGCGCACUUCAUACCUAUUCAUACUACUUGGACCGGAGAAAAGCUCACACAAGUGUACCUUGAUGAGAUUGUGCGACUUCACGGAGUACCUACAUCGAUAGUAUCGGAUCGAGACACUCGGUUUGUGUCUCACUUUUGGAGGAGUCUACAGGACGCCUUGGGCACCCGACUCAACUUGAGCACUGCUUUCCACCCUCAGAGUGAUGGGCAGUCGGAGCGCACCAUUCAGACUUUAGAGGAUAUGCUCCGAGCGUGUGUGAUAGACUUUCAGGAAUGAUGGUCGCAACAUCUACCUAUGGCAGAGUUUGCUUAUAACAACAGUUAUCAAGCAAGCAUUAAGAUGGCGCCAUUUGAAGCACUUUAUGGACGGAAGUGUAGAUCACCACUUCAUUUGAGUGAAGUCGGCGAGAGAUUGGCAUUAGGCCCUGACGUGCUCCAGGAAGCUGAGGACAAGGUUCGAAUUGCUCGGGAGUGACUUUUGACGGCAUAGAGUAGACAGAGGAGCUACGCCGACCGACGACGGCGAGACUUGGAGUUCUAAGUUGGAGACCAUGUUUUCUUGAAGGUCUCGCCGACUAGAGGGAUCAAGAGAUUUGGGAUUCGGGGUAAGUUAAGCUCCCGUUUCAUCGGACCGUAUGAGAUUUUGGAACGUGUAGGUCCGGUAGCGUAUCGACUUGUUCUACCACCGAACCUAUCGGGCAUGCACAACGUCUUUCAUGUAUCGGUCAUUCAGAAGUACGUCUUCGAUCCGACUCAUGUGUUGGAUGCUACACCUGUGGAGUUGCAGGACGAUUUGAGUUUCGAGGAGCAACCCGUGAAGAUUUUGGCUCGUGAGGUGAAAAAGCUGCGGAAUCGGGAUAUUCCGUACGUGAUGGUUCUUUGGAGCAACCACGGGGAGCGGGAGGCCACGGGGGAGCUAGAGAGGCGCUGUGGGAGCGCUAUCCCCAUUUUUUUCAGAUGGAGCUUUGAGGUAUGCUGUCGUUUUGAGUUUUGCGAGCGAAACUCCUUUUUAGGAGGGCUGAAUGUAACACACUGGACCUUUGCAAAUUGCGAGGUUCGAGUGUUUGAUAUGUAUUCCGAACUUUUUCACACUUGGUGGAAGGUCGUAGAUAGUAUUCCGGUCUAAAAGUUCGAUCGCUAGAGUUUUGGCAAGUCUUGAGAGUUUUCACUCUCGGGGACCGGUCCCCUCAGAACAGUGCUGCGGCAGGACUUGAGGCAACCGAUCCCUAGCUGGGAGAGACCGGUUCCCGAACGCGUGUUUUGCUAGAAGGGUUCGAGAGACCGGUCCCUGGCGGGGAGAGACCAGUUCCCGAACGUUGGUUUUGCGGGGCAGGCUGAGAGACCGGUCCCAGGUGUCGGGGAGACCGGUCCCUCAGCACGAAAACUGUCCAGACUGGGCAGUGCACAGGUUGCAUUUUAGAGGGACCUAGGUGGAUUUUGUUACAUUUGAAGGCUUAUAGAGCCUUUCCUCUCCCUCUCACUCUCAUUUUCACCCUCCUUACACUUCUAGAGAGAGAAGAAGAAGGAGAAGAAGAAGGAGAAGUUGGAGAGCAAGCUUGACGGAGCCUUGGAGCAUCUUCCUCUUUCCCAUUUCUCACUUUUAGAGGCUUAGAGCUUGGACUUGGAGCUUUGUGGUGGAUUAAUCUUCAACCCUAAAACAUUUUGAGCUUGGUUUGGAUCUCCUCUUGAGGUUAGUUGCUUAUUUCUCCCCUUUAGACCUAUUUUUGGUAGAUUUUGGGAGAUAGAAUCCUAGAUUUGGAUUUUAGGGUUUAUUUUGGAGAUUUUUGAUUUGAGGGCUUGGAGACCUAAUUGAUGGGUUUAGAACCUUCCUCUAGGUUGGGUUGGAAGGGUUCUUGCCCUCUUUGGAAGCUUGGGCAGGGAUUUCAUCACAAGAGGUGAGUUAUGCCCUUUAUGCUUAGAUGGUUUAAGAUUGAGUUUUUGAUGUUCGUUUCGAUUGUGUAACUCUUGUUCCUACAUCUUUAAGGUGCUAGGAGACUAGUGGACACCUCCGUUCGGCGAAACGAAGAGUUUCGAUUUUCGGUGGGUUUGGCUUCAUGAAAACGGGGCGAAAUAGCCCCCGUGUUUUCUAUACUUGUCGUAACGUCAUUUUAAAUGCAACUCUAUGCUUAAUGGAAAUUAUGUGAAUUUUAGAACACUUAAAAUGCAUGUGUUAUAUAUAAGAAAAUUUGCACUCUAUAUAGUAGAGCAUUCUGGGUAUUGUUACAUGCAUUUGGGUAGUGUUCGCAUUAGUCGUUUGGAAACAUGCUUCAUAUGUUUAAAGUGGCUCAAUUAUACAUUUGUGAACACUUGGGUUAAGCUUGGACUUAGUAAAUGAAAGUGUCAUAAAGGGGCAUUUAGACUAGCACACUAUGAGACUAUUGUUUUGAGACUUAGAGAUAGGCCAUGGACAUCUACUACUUUUCAUAUUUUAGACAUGAUGACAUAGAGAUAGGCCUAUGAGAGAGUUGUGACAUAUUCCAUGUUGUUAGACAUGAGGACUUAGUACUUGAGACGGAUCUUUCGUUACUUGCCAUUGUGCUCAUUCGCACAUGCUUGUGAGGGUCGCUCCCUACAAGCCGGCACUCCGGAGAUGGCCAUCGCGAUACAUAUUCGCCAUGCGGGAUUGGGCGCCGAAGUGGAUUGCCAUGGGAAAGGCUCAUUCCUAGAGUGGGGAUGUUGACUACCACGGGGCCAUUAGGCUCGGCACCGGCCAGACAGCCUACGGGUGGGUCUCAGGGCCAGACAGCCUUCGGGCGGGUCUCUACAGAUUUGAUUUUGAGCAUUCAUCACGCCAUGUGGACAUUGAUUAGAAUAGUAAACAAUGACAUCUUUACUAUUUGAUUUAUGGACAUCAUACUAACGAUGCUUGGGUACAUUCAUACGAGAAUAGCUUUUCUUACUUAUGCAAAAUCAUGCUAAGUAGAGAUAUCAUGUGGUAGCAAAUAUUCAUAUUUAUUUACUUGUCGUACCAAUCGUUUUUGUUUAUUUUGCUUACUGACCCCUUUUUAGUUUGGGCCUAGUGGUGCAUUUCACUGAAGCAAGUAAUUGCCUACUGGGAACUAUUAUUCAAUAGUUCUCACGCCCCCUGUUUUAUGGUUUUAUUUCAGAGCCUUCGGCACCUGCGGAGGCACGGGAUCGCGGCAAGGGAGUUGCGUAGCUAGUUAGCGGGAAGCUACUUUUGAGCUUAGGUGGUUUACUCUUUCUUUUAUUGUAUUAGAAAUAGAGAGAGAUUUUGAGUACCAUGUAUAGAGAGACCACCUAUAUACUCUUUAUGUUUAGUUUUUGUAUUUGGGAUUUCCUUUGUACUACUUUAUGGCUUUAUUAGUGGAUUUCAGUUUUAUACUUACCCCCCCUGUGUAGAACUUAGUUAAUUACUUUGCUCUGAUAUCGUUAGAUUCCUUUAUUCUACUACUUUAUUUAUCAUUUUGUUUUAGACGCCUUGUAUGUUUUAGACAUAUGGCGGGUCUGGGCACGCGCCGGGUGGGCUUCCGCUGGGUCUCGGGGCGUGACACACUCAUCCAUAUUAUAGUGUCUCUAUUAUACUAGUCCAAAUGCCACUCAUCUAGGCCAUUUACAUGUCCAAGUUCAUCAUCAUUAUUGUCACUAUAGGAUUCUUGUCACAAGACCCAAUCCUUAUGUAACCUAAGAUCAAGUAUCAAGCCCACAAUGCUACACAACCUAGGUAACAUGCAAGGAAUGGAAAUGCAAUCAUCUACUAAUCCUAUAAUGCACAAUGUAUCAACAUAUGAGAAUAUGAUCAAAUACAUAGAACUUAGACAUAAAAGGAAACCCGGUUGCUUCGGGAUGGACACCCCCCACCUUUAGGACACCCCACCUUUAGGUGAUGUCUCGAUGCUAUGAUUCCGGUUUCGUGAUUUUUGUAAGCUUACGCCGCGAGUUGCGGCAAUCUAUACCGAAAUCGGCCUUUUCUUCAAUAUCUUCACGUAGGCUCGACGAAUCGCCGAACCGACUUCACCAACGCGUUCGUAUACCUAGCAAUUAGGUUUGUGUAGGGUUAAUUUAGAUCAAACCCUACUAGAUAGCUAAACCCUAUUUUUGGAGCCCUAAAACCCCAUUAUUGCGAAGUCCUUCGUCUAGCUCAUUACUCUUGCAAUAAAUGGAAAUAGCCACAUCUAGGGGUCCAUUAAAUUCCACUCCUAGGGUUUAUAAACCCAUCCUUAGCAUUCUACCAUGAGAGGGGUUAAAGAGCUUACCUCUACAAGCUAUUCCUCCCAAGCUAAGGAAGAAGAUAGUGAUGAUGCUCCACCUCCAAGCUCUAAUCUCCUCCUUUCUCCUCCUCUUGCUUUCCUCCUUGAAGAGAGAGAGAGAGAGAGAGACACCUUAGAGAGAGAGAGAGAGAGAGUUUAGGGUUGAGGGAAUGAGAGAAAAUGAGAGAGACAUCCCUCAUAUAACUCCCCCUUAUAGCCAAAUUGCCAAAAACCCCCUAAACUAUCCAAACUGCACUAAACUCGGCAUUUUAGGGUCUCGGAGACUGGUCCUUGGCUUGAGGGACCGGACCCCGUAGGUCUAAAAAUUCUGCAUUUCCAGACUUAGCUAAAAUUUCAGUCUUUUCGUCAAUUUUGGUCCGUUUUCGCUCAUUUUCGCUCCGUGGGUCUCCGAUUCAUUUCAAAUCGAACCGAGGCUCUUAAAACAUGAUUUCGAGCGCGUUUACAUCAUCUUUUCAUCCACGCUAAUGCUGGAUUUAGUCCAUAGUCCAACAUAGCCUUUCGGGUCCCUUUUUGCGCCUACGCGCUCCGAAAACACCCGAAUGCUUCCGAACUUCACCGAACCAUUCUAAUGGCUUUCCAAACCAACAUACCCCAUAACUUCAUAACUUUAGAAGUUUGGUAUGUUACACAUUGAGGUUCUCAUUCCUUACAGUAGCGGUAGUUGCAUUCUAUAUCCUGCUUUUCUAUUGAUAUUGCUACUGUAUUAUUGUUCAUAGAUAUCUUUAGUUACCAGUGAGUACGCUCGCCUUCGUCGGCUUGCGGUACCCACUGGGAGAUCUUUUGUUGGUUUCUCACCCUCCCCCCCCCCCCCCCCCCCCCCCCCCCCCCCCCCCCCCCCCCCCCCCCCCCCCCCCCCCCCCCCCCCCCCCCCCCCCCCCCCCCCCCCCCCCCCCCCCCCCCCCCCCCCCCCCCCCCCCCCCCCCCCCCCCCCCCCCCCCCCCCCCCCCCCCCCCCCCCCCCCCCCCCCCCCCCCCCCCCCCCCCCCCCCCCCCCCCCCCCCCCCCCCCCCCCCCCCCCCCCCCCCCCCCCCCCCCCCCCCCCCCCCCCCCCCCCCCCCCCCCCCCCCCCCCCCCCCCCCCCCCCCCCCCCCCCCCCCCCCCCCCCCCCCCCCCCCCCCCCCCCCCCCCCCCCCCCCCCCCCCCCCCCCCCCCCCCCCCCCCCCCCCCCCCCCCCCCCCCCCCCCCCCCCCCCCCCCCCCCCCCCCCCCCCCCCCCCCCCCCCCCCCCCCCCCCCCCCCCCAUUUCAGGUGACGUUGCCGGUCCGAGUCGGGACGAGGUAUGAGGCACGUUCUUAGUGGUCGAUAAAGUUCCGGCCCGGUUCACAUUGGUUUAGUUCUAACCCUAUCCUCUCAGAAUAAAUGACUUAGACAUUUUAUGGUUCAGUUGACUUUAUUUCAGUUGGAUAUAUAUGGUUUUGUGAGGUUAAAUAAUAUUGUUUUAUUUAUUAUCACAUGAGUUGUGAAAAUAGUUUCCUACCCUCGUGAUAGCGUUUUAAAGAAAAUGUUUCCGUGUGGAAAAUGGUUUUUAAAAGGUUUUCUUGUGGAAAUGUAAAUGUAUGCUGUGUGUGAAUGAUUUGUGAUUGUACUUGUACUCGUACGACGCUAUGCAAAUAUAGGCGAGACUCUGUCCGUGUGAAUAGUGAUUUUUUUGUAUUUGUGGCGGGUCUGUUAUCCCUUGGGUCAAGGUUUUCAAAAUAAAAAUAUUGGGCAUUUUUUCGUUGAUUUUACAGACUAAAAAGGGACCCCAAGGCGUGAUACCCGAGGGGAUAGGGAGCUGCAGAUAGAGUUCAGUCGUGUAGCAUCCCUGUAGGUAGAGGAGGCCGGUGGCGACGACAGCAUGGUGGUGGGGAAGCGACAACGGCUCGGUUGGAGGGGCUCAACCCGACAUCAAGCUCGGGUUGGUCUACGAGCUCGAGGAGGGGGAAAGGGGGGCGACGCUGCGGUGAUGGAGAGAGGGGUUGCCUCGCUGGAGUUCCCCUGAGGUUGACCACAGUGGUGAUGAUGGCGACGGCUGGGGGCAAGCCCCAGAGAAGGGGGAAAGGCCUGAGAGGGGGAGGGAGGGAAAGAGAUAAAGAGAGAAAAAGACAGAGAGAGGGCCUAUGGCUCGAGGUUCCUCGUUGGCCAAAAAGUCGCCCGAAGAGGGGAAAAAAGAGGCGGCGUGGCGGCGACUGAGGAGGAGAGGGGAGAGGGCAAUAGACAUAGGGUUAGGGUUUCUAUUCCAAUACGUAUAUACAUAUGUAUAAAUAUAGUAAUAUAUAUAUAUAUAUAUAUAUAUAUAUAUAUAUAUAUAGUCCGGCUACUAUGCUAUCGGUAGCACGAAGCGCUUCGUGCUACCAAGUUGUUUUCGAAUGAUGCGGCUUCCAAAUCGACGAUCGGUUCCGUUAGACUUGAUCUACACUAUGAAAGUAUUUGGAAACAAAAUUUCAAUUUUUUCGACAUCAUUUGACUAGUGAUCAAAAGAUCUCAAAUCGACAAUUUUAAUGGCCGAUUGUGGUGUUUUGUGAGUUUAACGGUGUAAAACAAUCAAUGCAAUGAAAAUUUUAUAGAAUUUUUUUUUUUCACUAUUUAGAGUAAGAUCAGUAUAUCUGAUCUUGAAUUUAAAUCUUUUAUCAUCAUUUCUCAUGAGAUUUUUUUUCAGCUGUUCAUUUUAGACUACUUGUUUGAUGGUAAAUAUAUCGAAAAAAUCUGAAAUUUAGUUUCCAAAUACUUUCAAUAGUGUAGAUCAAGUCUAACGGAACCGAUCGUCGAUUUGGAAGCCGCAUCAUCGAAAACAACUUGGUAGCACAGAGCGCUCCGUGCUAUCGAUAGUAUAGUAGCCUAGUUCUAUAUAUAUAUAUAUAUAUAUAUAUAUAUAUAUAUAUAUAUAAACCCCUUUGUGCACAAAUUACAAGUAGGCCCAGAAGUUAGCCUCUCUUAUCCGAAACCCCACAGAAUUGUACUUUUACAGGAAAGCCUUUCUUGCAACCAAUUUUUGCAAAUGCGCAAGAAAAUUGCAUCUUUUUGCGAAAAGAUCCAACAUCCACUUCUCUCUCUCCUUUUCAACUCUGUGUUGUUUUGCACAGAAGUAUCAGAAUUUCGCAAAACUUGAAUUAGCAUGUUUCUCUCUAAGUGCCCUUUCAUUUGAACCCAUCCACUCGCCAACACUCCACAGUUUCUCAUAUGAAAUGAUAGCCUCAACAAGAAGUGCUCUAAUUUCACAAAUUGCUAAAACUGCAAUUUAAUCCCUCUAUGUUCAGAAUUUCAUACUAAAAAUUUACCACUAUGUGCAUCUCGCACAGAUGCACCUACUCGUGGAGUUUCACGCAAUUCGGCACAUGAAAUGUUGUACCUUUUCCAAAAAAACCCAAUUUGCCAAAAUGGCCAAUCUAUGAUGAGAACAGAUUUUCUUGAAAAUCGUGCAUCGGACGUAAAAUCCAUCAGUGCCAUUGGGUCUGACAUAGUCGGACCUUCAAAAAUGAGCUAUUGGAUCAUGCGAAAUAGAGUCUGGUACGCGACAGAAGCCAUCUACACUCAAUAGCCUCUUCCGAAAAUACAAGUUACUAUUCACUUUAAGUGAAAAGUAAUAUUCUCAUAAAAUCUUUAUUUUAAUUUAUUUUUUUUUGAAAUUUGAUGGAUAGUUUUAAGUUAAAAUAUAUAUGAUAACAUUUAAAAGGAUGUCAAAUUUAUAUAGAAAAAAAAUCUCAGUCCUCACACCUAUAAAAGAGGUUAUAGAGAUUAAAAAUGUUCGGUCCUCAAAUAAUGAUGUUGGUGACUUAGUGUCUGAAACUUUGUUGUAAUUUCUCAGUCGACCUUUUAAAUUAUUACAAUCCAGUCUGACAACCUAGUUUAGCUAAUUAAAUAUUGGCACAUUGUUGAUGCAAAAUUAAUGUAGCAUUUUAAUUAUUGGUGUAUAUAUCAUCGAUCACAAUAAUGUAUAUUACUUAUACAUCAGCGGUAUAUAAAUAUUUAGUCAUGUAAAUUAGGUUAUAGAACUUUAUUACAGCAAUUCUAAAAGUUCGAGUUAGAAGUCACAGUAAUUUAAAGUUUAAGGAUCAAAAUAUCAUCCACAUUAUAGUUUAAGGAUGGAAUGUGCAGUUACACUAAAUAGAAGUAAUACACGAUCAUAUAGAAGCUUUGCUUUACAAGUCUUAAAAUAUUAUACUUCUAUUCUAGGCUAAGUGAUGAAGUUUUGGAAGUGGUAGAGAAAAUUCUCUAUGGACCACUAAUUAAUACCGCGCAGGUUUACAAAUAUACCACUCUUAUUUGAGAGAGUGUUUUUCUUUGUGUGAAGGAUAUUGCAUGAGAUUAAUAGCAAGUCAAUUCUUUUCCGAACAUCAAACUAACUUUAAUUUGGAAAGAUAAAAAGAUAAAUCUUAGGAUUUAUUUGGCUCUACUGUAAAGUAUCAUAUUAUAUCUCAGAUAUUGAAGAAGAUUUAAAUCAAAAUUUUCUUUGGCCAGGCAUUUUAAUCUAGUGCUGUUAAAAAUAGUAAUGCAAAAUACAGAGUUGCAUCAUAGAAGAAUGCUUUAGAGCUGGUGUUUGGUUGAUUUUAUUGUAAAAGUAUUGUAAAGUGUAGAAAGAUAUUUGAUAAAUAUUCUGCUGAUGUGCUGUGGAGUGCUUAUAAAGUUAAAAUUACUAAAAUACCCAUCAUUCUAAUUUUCCAAAUAAUAAAAUUUUUAAAGGACAAAAUGCAAAAAAGAUAGGUCAAUUUGCAUAAAAAAUCCACUAGUUUUGUAAUUUUGCAAAAGUGGGCCGCUAUUUUGGUUUUGCAGAUUCAGGCCGAAUUUUCAACAAACUGACCAAAAUACCCUUCUUCCUUUCUCUUUCUUUUCUUUCCUUCGUUUUUUUUUUUUUUUUUCUCUUUUCAAUCCUCAUCACCUCCUCCACUAUCUCUGGCAAUGAUAGUGAGGGCGGCACCACUUCCUCUGUAAGGACUGAGACUUUUGCAGUGUAGCUAAACUCUCAGUUGACGAUGUUUUUGUGUGUAAUUUAAUUACAAAAGCACUCGUCAAAUUUCGGGAGAAAACGAGUUAAAACGGAAAUUCUACGCGAUUUCCAAGUUUCACUUAAAGUGAAUAGUAACUCGAUUUUCCGGAGAAGCCACGGUGUGAAGUUGGCUUCAGGCUCGUAUCAGACUCCGUUCCUAGCGGUCCAAUAGCUCGUUUCGACCGGUUCAGCUGUUCUGGAACUAAUGGAGCUGACGGAUUUUGAGUUCGACGCACGGAUUUCGAGAAAAUCCAAAAAUACAUAUUCUAUAUGUAUUUAGGUGUGUUUUCUUCUAUUGGUAGAAGGGUUGGAUUUUGUCGUGAAUCCGUAGUCGAUCGAGACGAAACGAGAUUGUAGCUUUGUUGUCUCCGUCGUGCUGAUCGUACUGGUACGAUCCGUUUGCAAAUCUGACGGACGGAUCUGCGGCAAUUGCAUGUUGUUCGAGGAGAGGUCGGUUGUGGCAAAACGGUAUUUUCGCAAAAGUCGCNAAUCAUAAUUUAGAAAAAUAGCAUAUUUUACUUAUGAAGCAAAUUUUCUUAUAAUAUAAAAAAAUAUCUUUGAAGGCCAAAUACGAAAUUGUUAUAUUACAACUGCGAUUACAUUUUCCUUGUCUAUUAAAUAUUAUAUACUACGUGAAUAAAUCGAUAUACUAAAUAAAAUAUUCAUACAUUCAGAAAGAUCAUAAGGAAUAUAUAUAAUAGGAAACAAUUAUUUCAUGCCCCAUGGAUAUUCGUAUAUUUUUAAUUUCAUGAUCGCUGCUCUAAUUCCAAAUUUAAUUAUAAGGAUUAAAUGCAUCACAACUAUCAAAAUUUUUUUCUUAUUUGCAAAUGGUCAUCUAAACUUAUAAAAUUUUCUAUGUUCCAUGUAGCAUUCAAAAUUUUGCACUUGGCCAUCUAGGUUUAUUUUUUAACAUAUUAAAGUGGGUAAUUUUAGCCACCUGAUCAAGAAAUUAUAAAGGACAAAUGCCGGCAAUAUACAAGAUUUAUUUGACAUCGAAAUUCAGUCUUAUGUGUUGGGAAUUUAAUGGUCGUUCUUCAUACGCUACCAACGCAGAUGCACAAAAAAAGAAAAAGAAAUAAAUGGUAAAAGAAAUAAAUGAAGAAACAAAAAUUUAAGAUUUAUGUGGUUUGACAAUUUUCUACAUCCAUGCGGAGAGCGAGAGAGAUAUAUUCCACUAUAUGAAGAAAUAAAAAAAAAGUACAAGCUUAAAGCUUAUAUUUUCUCUAGAUAAAAAAAAAUUAGGAGCCUUUUGGUGAUUCCCACUUUUCUCUUAUUCCAACAAAAACUCCUCCAAAUAUCAAAUAUCUCAUCUCAGCCCAAAACGAGCAGUUUUGGUUGCUCAGAACCCAUAUCCAGGCAUUCGAAACCUUUCAAACAGUGUCCUUCGGGUGCUUCCUCUCGCUGCCUUUCAUCAGUCCAAAUCUGGCAGUAAUUGCGCCCGGACCAAUUCGGUCGUCCGGAACCUGCGCUCGAAACCGUGCUGAGUCACCUGUA
rnacentral:lncRNA from 1 species